CCCAAGUAUAUCUUCCGCAACUUCAUGGAAAGGCUCUGGGCAUACCUGACUAUCCAGCAGCUGCUGGAGCAAACUGUCUCCGCAUCCGAUGCUGAUCAGCAGGCCCUCCGGAACCAAGCGCUGAAUUUAUCACUUGCCUACAGCUUUGUCACGCCUCUCACAUCUAUGGUAGUCACCAAACCCGAUGACCAAGAGCAGUCUCAAGUUGCUGAGAAGCCCAUGGAAGGCGGUGGGUGUGGGGUUGAGAUCUCAGCCUCCCAGGUAGCAGAGUUUGGACCCAGCAUUCUCCCCGAUCUUCCCUGCUUCCUGACCAAGACCCCAACCAUGCCCCCAACAGACUCCCCCUGGGAGAUUCAGCCUAUUCACUGAUGAGGAAAGUGAAGCCGGGUCUCCUAUCUCCCCAAAUUCAUUGCACCUACGAUAUAGUCCAGGAUUGGGUAGCAAGAUUAAACACAAGCGCUUCAAACUGAUGAAAACC
rnacentral:sRNA from 1 species